AAUAUCAUUUGAUAUUUACCAGUCGCUUUUCGGUGAAGGAAAACAUUGUGAGCAAACCGGACUAAUCCCAACAAGGCCUAGUUUACCCUCUGGGUUGGAAGGUCAAAUGGCAGUCGCUUUCGUAAAAACUAGUGCCUACGCCAAUUCUCUCUUCUUCUUCUUCCUCGCGUUAUCCCGGCAUUUUGCCACAGCUCAUGGGAGCCUGGGGUCCGCUUGACAACUAAUCCCAAGAUUUGGCAUAGGCACUAAGUUU